UGGGGAAUUUUGCGCAAUGGGGGCAACCCUGACGCAGCAACGCCGCGUGCGGGACGAAGGCCUUCGGGUUGUAAACCGCUUUCAGCAGGGAAGACAUCGACGGUACCUGCAGAAGAAGCCCCGGCUAAAUACGUGCCAGCAGCCGCGGUAAUACGUAUGGGGCGAGCGUUAUCCGGAUUCAUUGGGCGUAAAGCGCGCGUAGGCGGCUCGCCAAGCGGGACCUCCAAUCCCGGGGCUCAACCCCGGGCCGGGUCCCGAACUGGCGGGCUCGAAUCAGGUAGGGGGAGGCGGAAUUCCCGGUGUAGCGGUGAAAUGCGCAGAUAUCGGGAAGAACACCGAUGGCGAAGGCAGCCUCCUGGGCCUCGAUUGACGCUGAGGUGCGAAAGCCGGGGGAGCGAACAGG
rnacentral:rRNA from 2 species